rnacentral:lncRNA from 1 species
UGCACUUUUCCAAAUAAAUGAAAGGAUAUGAUCAACUUGUUGCUCAAUUGCCCAGAAAGCCUAUUAUCGCUAAGAGUCAAUGUAGUCAAAUUUGUUGCCAAAACAGAUCAAAACAGACCAUCCCGUAUAGAACCUGAGAGAUAGUUUGAUCCAAGGUCCAGGUGUUCCAAUGAGCUGCAUUUCUCAAGCUCCAAUGGAAUAUUUCCAUUGAAAUAGUUCACUGCUAAAUUAAUAACUUGAAUACAUGGUGAGUUGUUACAUAUACCAUCAGGAACCAAACCCUGAAAAUAUUCUGAGAAAUGUUGAAUUAAAACUCGAAAUGAUGGCAGAUCGAUGCUAACUGUAAACAACCCAGAAAAGACAUUGUUGUUCAAGUCAAAAACCUCUAAAUUGGGCAAAUGCAACAGUGAUGUUGGAAAUGAGCCUUUGAGCACAUUGUGGGAUAAAUUAAGGGUGUUAAGAUGGUCUAAAUUGCAAUUGAUUAUGAGAGCUUGCCCAUUAAUCUUUCCCUUCCAAGUUCUAACUUAACUGCAAGUGAUGCCUACCCAAUCACAGCAAUUGGGGGGAAAAAGAUGAAUUUGCAUUCAAUUUCCGCACAUCACUAAUUGAGUUUAAACCAUUUAUCAACCCCUCCAAUGCCUUCAAAUCAUUUGAAUUGCAUGUCAAGUUCUGAGCAUUCAAAACCUCAAUUUGUAAAGAACCCCCAAAGAGAAUCAAAAUUAUCGAUAAUUCCAGAAUACAAAUCUCAGAAAAACAAUCCCAAAUACACGAAGAAAGAAAAGGGCCUAGUGAAAUCAACCAUAAAUCAAGAUUGAACCUUUAACCAUAUUCCAGAGCAAAAGAAAAAUGAAUAAAGACACGUAAAAAAUAUUUAAAAAAUUGGGGGCUUGUUGGAAUAAAACAUGAAUAUACAGAAAGACACAGUAUUGAUCACCUGAAAACUGCACGCUUUGUUGGCUCAAAAGAUAAGAUUUUGUUUCUGCUUCAACUUCCCGUUCUUGCAAUUAAGCAAAAGAAAAUAGAGAAGAUAAAAAGGAGAGACAUAAAAGUAGAUAGGGAACCCUAAAUCACAAAGCAAAAUCAAGUAUUUACCUCGUCCUAGUUGUCGCUGAUGACUUCAAUCUCAUCCUCAUCCUCAUCCUCAUCCUCAUCCUCAUCCUCAUUCACCGGUCAGAGGAAUUCAAGCCAUUUGAUAUUGAUUCAUCUAAAGAGUCAUUCGCUUUUGAGAGAUCGAGGGUUUUCAGAGGAUCUUUAUAAGAAGAGAGGGGAGAGUGCAUUAAAAUUUCAGAAUUCACCAACAAAAAAAAGUUAAAUUUCUUUAAAAAUUAAAACUAAAUUUCAUUCAAAAAUAAAAAGAGUAACAUAAAAAAAUUUCAAUAAAACAAAAGAAAUAAUCAUCAAUUACCUGAUUUGUUCUCGAAAUCGAAUAAAUCGGAUUAAAAAACCCUACAAAUUACAUCAAAAAAUUUUAAUAAAAAGAAGAGGAAGAGGAAGAGGGAGAGGGGGAAGUGGAAGUGGAACUCUGUAACUAUCGAAUCUAACAAAAUACUGAGGCUUGUUACUAUUGAUGUCUGAAAAAAAGAAGAAUAAAUCGGAUCAAAAAACCCUACAAAUUACAUCAAAAAAUUUCAAUAAAAAGAAGAGGAAGAGGGAGAGGGGGAAGUGGAAGUGAAACUCUGUGACUUUUGAAUCUAACAAAAUACUGAGGCUUGUUACUAUUGAUGUCUGAAGAAAAGAAGAAGUUGUAUUGAAGAGAUGAAGACAUGAUUGAAUUUAAUCAAAAAGGGAAUGGAAGAGGAAGAGGAAGAGGAAGAGGAAGAAUAACUCGGUAAAUAACUCAGUGAAAUGGAAAUAAAUUGACUCAAAUUGAUUAAAAGUCGAC